rnacentral:rRNA from 1 species
GCGAGCGUUGUCCGGAAUCACUGGGCGUAAAGGGCGCGUAGGCGGUUCGUUAAGUUGCUGGUGAAAUCCCGGGGCUCAACUCCGGGGCUGCCAGUAAGACUGGCGGGCUAGAGCACGGUAGAGGCAGAUGGAAUUCCCGGUGUAGCGGUGGAAUGCGUAGAUAUCGGGAAGAAUACCGGUGGCGAAGGCGUUCUGCUGGGCCGUUGCUGACGCUGAGGCGCGACAGCGUGGGGAGCAAACAGG